GAAGAUAUGGCUCAGUGGUUAAGAGCACUGGCUGCUCUUCCAGAGGAUCUGGGUUCUAAUCCCAGCACCCACA
rnacentral:tRNA from 1 species